ensembl:lncRNA
CACUGUUGUUUGCAGAGUGUUUGGUGAGCCCUCGUCUUUGGAAAGGGCUCAGCACUUGACUAGAAAUCAGGGGAUGUGAGCUGAGUUUCUCCAAGCCACCUGUCUGCAUAGCAAAUUUUGGUACAUUUACCGGUGUCAGAUCCCUCUCGAAAUGAACCGCACCACCUCCACCACCAUGCAAAACCCAAAUCCUGCGCAUCAAGGAAGAAAAAGACCCAUGACCCUUAGCUAAUAAUAUGCAAGUGCCUUUCUGUGCAAUAGAUGAAUAAAUUUUAUUUGACAUCUAACUCUGUAUGCCUACCGUGGAAAGAGGGCACACAGUUUCUACAGUCGUGAAAUUGAUCUUGUGCUGAUUGACUGCAGCAUCCUACAAAUGCAGGGCACUCUGCCUAUCUCUGAAGACCACCUGGGAAGGUAUCCCUGCUAGCACCAGCACUGCUGGCAGCAGAUCACCCUCACCAUGCGCUGCGGAGCAGAACCAUGCCUGUAAGGGAUGGCUCACCUUGGGGCACUCUGGGCAGCCCAGCUGCAGUCCCACCAUCACCUCGCUCUGCGUCACUGCCGCCUCGUGUGAGCUGAAAGCACUUGUCAACCCACAGCCGGAGAUGCUAGAUGACAGCUCACUGCCUGGGGCUCAGCUUCUCCAUUGCUCCACACUGACCCAAGCCUGCACUGCUGCCGGUGGGGCUGUGUGUCCCUGCUCCAUCCCUGGCUGCAGCACCGGCCGGUGGGCGGCCAGCAGGGACCUCCAUGCAGACACGAGCCCUGCUUGUUGUGCAGCCUCCCUUCACUGGCAAGGAGGACCUGGGAGAUAACAUGGCCGGCAAAACAGCACAGUCGUGUGUUAUCAUGGAACUGCCUAAAUGAGAGUGGUAGCUCUCCUUGUUAAUCUAGUGAUGACCAUGAGUGGCCUGGAUCUACAGUGCUAGACUGGGGAUGCUCUGCUUGUGGAUGAUGUGAAUUCCCCUCUCCAGCAAAUUUUACAAGCGGACUAUACAGAUUUCUAUUAGGAAAGACAAAUGGUUCAAACACUGUGCUGGAGGGUCUACCUAAAUUGGGGCUGACCCUAUUUUGGUACUAGAGGCAAGACUGGGUGUCUCACCUGGAAUGCUGGGGUCCAAUUAAAUCUUCG